GGGGUUCCCGGCCCAUCCGGGUCCCGCGCCGCUGCUGGCAGCCGCGGCCCCUGCCGGCCUCGCCGCGCUGCCAUUGCGCCGCCGCCGCCUUAGCCGGGGGCUUCCGCGCCGGCGCGAAGGGCUGCGCGGUGGCAGCGGGGCCGGGGAGCGGGGGAACCGGCGGCGUGCGCGGCCCCCGGCUGUGCGGCGGGGAGAAGUUGGGGUUCGUUCUGCCAGGACCAAAACCCACCUUUUCAUUUUUAAAUUAUUGUUAUUUUUAAUCCUGCCUCGUAGUUUAAAUAUCUCUCCCGUGGAAACCGGACUGGCUUUUGUCAGGGAGUUUUCAUAAGCCAAGCAGUGCCAGCCUGCCGUGAAAAGUUUUUCUUCGACAAAGGAAAUAGCAGAUCAGUUACCGAGCUGGUGGUGUGCUGCGGGAGAUGUUCAGCCCCUUGCAGGAGAGAGGACUGUAAAGAGAGCUGAGAAUGAGAUGGGUUUACCGUGAAAGACUUGAAGCUCUUGGCAUACACAUCAUUGACGAGCUGCCGAUGAACACAGCAUAUGCCUCAGAGGAUGGAUGUGAAUGUGGACUGGGACUCUGAGAAUAACGUUUGUGACACAGGUGAGAAGCAUUCAAAUUACUCCCGAAAGACUGCUAAGCAGGUGGGCCACACAUCUAGUCUCCAGAAGGAGGAAGACAUGAAUUACUCAGAGACAUGCAGUCCUUGUUGCAACUCUGCUGGACCUUCAGGUAAGCAGGAGCUUCCUGCAGAGUUGCAGUGUGAAGACAAAGAAUACUAUGAGACCUACUACCAGAAACGAGGUGAGAGUACAGCUGGGGUAUUUAUUCCCUCCAGUACCAACUCUGACCUGCAGUGUGAAGAUAAAGAUUUAGAGCACUGUUCCCCUGAGCAGUCUGAGAAACCACAGAGAAGACUACACGCUGAAAACAAAAAUACCAUUCUUGCUGAUGUCUCCCUGGAGCCUGUCCCUGAGGAAGCUUUGCCAUAUGGUUGCAAGAAGUGUGGUUCCACUUUCCAGGGUAUGAGUGAGCUGCAGGAACAUAAGCGAACUCACCUUGUGGAAAAUUCAUACCAGUGUCCCGUCUGUGCCAAAGAGUUCUUCCGUGCCGCAAAUUUGCGAAUGCACAAGCUCAUUCAUUCUAGUGAGAGGCCACACAAAUGUCCAGAGUGUGACAAGGGUUUCAUUCGCACGGCUGAUGUCUGGAGGCACUUGCGCAAUGUGCACAAGAUAGAGCGCUCCAUGGUGAUCUUGGGAAAUGGCAUGGCUAGGAACCCAUGGUCAGUAGUGCACCGUAACCAACACACUGUUGAGUACAGUGAUCAGCCUUGUGCAGAGAACCAAAAGUCUGAGGAGGAUGACUGUAAACCUUAUUCCUGUCCAACAUGUGGCAAAAGUUUUGAUAAGCCUAACCUGCUUUCCAAACACAAGGUAAUCCACCGACAAGACAAGCCCUAUAAGUGUCAGGAGUGUGGCAUGGCAUUUGUCCAGUUGCUAAGGCUGAAAAGACACCAGCAGACUCACUCUGGGGAGCGCCCCUUCUAUUGCGAGGAGUGUGGAGGGACGUUCACCCAACUGGCAUCGCUCCAGCGCCAUCACCGCAUCCAUACUGGAGAGAAGCCCUACUCUUGCAAUUACUGUGGUCAUUCCUUCACUGAGUCAGAUACCUCUGCUGGGAUGACUGGACCCUGUGUACCAUAUGCGUCCACUACAGCUGUGAGUGAGACUUCUCCAAACUCCCUUCUGCAGACUGGCCUCCAAACCCUUCCUGGAAGAGCUUGCGUAUGGGAGGUUGGACAGGCUGAAGCAGACUCAUGUGGACUCUGGAGCAGCACGCACCUUUUACGCUUCUGGGCUUCAUCCCUCACCUGCUUACCUUGUGGGGAAAGGGGAUGCUCGUCCUCAAACUACGCAGAGCCCUGUUGUCCCUUCCAGAAGCAGAGCUCUGUGCUGAAGAUGCAGCCAAGAAAAAGCCUUAUGAGAUGCCACAUACUAAGAAAGUGCAGUCAUACGACCUGGGUGAGAAAACGGUGAUUUCAGAAGAAAAAGAUGUCACAAAAUCUAUAGCACACAGUGACCUCCAGCAAUGUGCUACCAUGCCAUCUUCUGUAAUCUUGUCCCUCUCAAAGAUCAGAACAACCAUCAGCCUUUGUCUGUGUUGGUGACCUGUAAACCCAGGCCUGCUUGUGGCAAACCUCAGAUGAAGAACCCAAGGCAGAAGAGGUGGAGGUGUGUGUUCCUGCUCAGCAGGAAGGACUGCUGAGCUCAGGGAAAUCGGAGAGUUUGCCUGCUCAGGGCAGGCUCCUGAGGAGUGGCUGUGGGUUUUGCUGACUCCCCCAGGCUAACAACAUGCUGGCAGUACAAAACAUCAGUGGUACAGAACACGGGGCAGGCAUCAGAUGGGAGCUCCUGGGUGUUGCUGCUGCAAGUAACAUCAGCUGCCAAGGUACCUCAUUGCAGGCCUGUGAAGGAGAGGCCAGAAGGAGAGACUUGACUUUUCGCAUUAGCGCUUAGCUGUGACACUUGUCUCAGCUGAAGAACAAGGAGACUGAGGCAUAGUAUGAAGGUGCAGAGGUCUUUUCUGUCCAAGAAGAUGAGCUGCUCAGGGCUGCAUCUUCCAGGCUGGACUCCAAGCUGCUGUCAUCUACCCCAUCAUCUCACAGAUCGUCACCAGUAAGGUACCUCAUUUUGCCAGGUGGCCAAGGCAGACCUGCAGCAGCCCUGUGUGUUUACGAUGGUGGCAUGGGGAAAUUGCUGCCAGCAAUACUACCAAUUGUCUUGACAUCCAAAUAUUUUGCAGCUACCUCCAGAGGAGUGUCACGCUCCCAUAGUCAUUUUAGGUGUUGUGUUACAGCACUGGCUGAAGGAAGGAUGGAAUAAACAUCUUCCUGGCUCCAGAGGCCCCAAAUGGCUAGGGAGAAAACAGAGACUGCUGCAAGCUGGUGCCCUAGGCUGCAAAUGAAGACAAGCAUGCCAGAUCCUGCAGGCACUGUGUGAAGCCAUUGAGAAAACUGCAGGAACAGAGAUUGAACAGACUCAUCUGCCGUUCUCAGUGGCUUCACUGAAUUAUAUCAGGUCACAGAAUAUCUGGCCUGGAAAGUGCACAUCUUGCAAGAAUAACCAGCACCAUCUUCGCUUCCUGGCUCUGCACACCUCCAGCACACAGCCAGGCGUGGAGAGGAGGAGCACUGGAAGAUCCAAAGCCCCAAGCUUUAGCCUUUACAGCCCUUCUGAAUUACACCCUUGGAGACGAUCCCCACAAGGUAAGAGAAGAGCAGCCAGGGCCUCGCCAGUGAGGACACGUUGGAAAGUGGAAUCAGGUAAAGGACAGAUCCAGCCUCCAGGUAGACUUGAUUGUAGGCAGGAUAGAGGUUCAUUCAGCAUACUCACUGCUCUGUUCACCCAUGGGUGCAGAGCCACGAAGAGAGCAGGUGCUGGUUGCCCCUGCGCUGGUUAUGGUAUUGACUGGACAAACUGGUCCUCCUGGGCACUUGCUCAUUCAGAUUCUUACUGAGUAAGAAAUAGGAUGCAAGUACAAUAUAUAGGAUAGCCUAUAUGGUAUCAUAGUAUAGGAUACAGACACAGUCUACAGCUUGCCGUGGAAAACAGAGUAACAGCUCAAGAACUGUAUUUCAUACUGGAUGUUGCAAGAGCUGCAGCGUUAGGAAAUGGGCUGGGUUUGUCCAAGUCCAAAGAAAAGAGUGGGGAGGGGUUUCAUUCCCUCCCAAACCGUAAGCCCAGCCAUAUCCCUCCCCAGUUUAGGUUCAGGUUAGGGAUGUGGGUCUUAGCAGUAGGAUGAGGGUCUCUCUCCCUACGGGGCAGCCCCAUGUGCAUGAGGCAGUUGGGAUAGGGUUUGAGCUCAGCCUUUCAUUGCAGGAGGACAGAAAACGGCUUGCAGGGAAUGGGCAAGGGGGGGACACCCAGCUUUUCAUCAGGGUUAUGGGAUGGAAAACAUGUUCAGGAGGGUGUUAGCUGCAGCAUGGCCCUGGGGUUAUGAUAAUCUUCCCCACUGCAGGUGAUUUGAGCUGUACCUACUGCAGGGCAGCAGCCUUGCAGCAGGGCCCGCCAUGCUGGGCCGAAGCACCAAGGGCAACCUUCCCAUGGGUUUUCAAAUCUCAGAGGAGAUUUCCCUGGCAGAGCAGCUCAGUUUUCUUUGGAGCAAAGAUAAUCUUCCCCUCCUCCCCCACUGCUGAAUACUCUGGCAUAGCACCAAAUAGCAAAGUCAACAUAAAAUACACCCUCAUUUCCUGGGCCUCCUCUUCCCAGCCGUCCUCCAGCAAAGAGGAGUGAUACAGCAUCUGCUCCUGUAGCCACAGCCCUCUUCCAGGACUGGGUCUUUGUGGCUCUUCAGAGGUGUGCCAAGAGCUUUGAAAUCCCUUCAAGGCAUAAAGCAAGGCAGCAGCAAGGAGUGAGCAGCAGAAGCAGAACUGCCUGUGUCGAGCCUUGCCUGCUGCCAGUAGUGCCCUGAAGGGUCUCUGGUUUGCUCAAGCUUUUAAAGGGCAUCGCUGAGGCCAUCACCAUCCUGCAGUGUGGCACAACCUGUUCAGCGCACAUGGGGAAAGAGUUGCUCACACCUCUUCCCUUCCAAUGAAGGUACAAAGAAAGGUUGGAAUAAGACUGUCAGCUCUGCUCUAUUGGCCAGGAAACCACUGUCCACAGCUAUGACAUUGAGCCUCAUUUAUGGGCCAAGAAAGAUCGGGAGAAGCUGAUCCGCAGAGGAGGAUCCUGUCAGUGUCUGCCAGACUAUUUGCCUCUAGGAACUGGAAGCAAGAUGGGUUCAAAGAUAAAUCACUGGGAGUUGAGGAAACUGGCUCUGUGUGUUCACAAAGAGUUUGCUUUCAGCAUGCCAAGCCUGUCUGAACAGGGCGACUCUGCCAGGCAGGUUGCAUGGAUGUGGUGGGAGCAUCAACAAACACCCUACACUGGCCUUAGCCUGGGAGAAAGAUGAUGGAGAGUUAGCCCAAAGAGCCAGUCCACAGCAGCAUGGUGGCAGCCAGGAAGAGGGAACGGAGCAUAAGCCAGUGAUGUGCAAAGAUCCCAGCAGCAGAAGCAGAGUUUACUGUAGCUUCUGUUCCCAUCUAUUCUGGAACUGAAGCCAUAAAAACAAAUGGAGGAUGAUUACACCACGCACUUGCAAGCACCGAGGAAUGGUGUGGAUGUGAGAAGCAGAAGUAAAAUUGCUCAUUUAGUGUUUUUCUGACUGCCUGCCAGAGCUGCAUCUGCUCUUCAGCCAACGCAGUGUAAGACCGCUAGCUGGCUAUUAGAUGAGAAGAAUUCUAGUAAUUUUUGUCACGUGGAGGAAGAGGGAGCAGAGACCAACCCAGACAGCCUUUCUGAGCUGAAAAUUCAUGCUCACAUCCAUCGGCUGCUAUGUGAAAGAUACUAAUGCAUGGAUUUUAAAAAAUAUAUAUUUUUUUAAAGAA